rnacentral:tRNA from 1 species
AUUUAAAUAGUUUAAUUAAAACAUAAUAUUGAAGAUAUUAAAUUAAUAUAUAAUUAUUUUUAAAUA